rnacentral:tRNA from 1 species
AAAAAAUUAGUUAAUGUUAUAAUAUGGGUUUGUCGUACCUAAGUUACUGAGUUUUAAUCAGUAUUUUUUG